rnacentral:sRNA from 1 species
UAACGGAUCCAGGGGUUGAAAUUGCCCCC